rnacentral:rRNA from 1 species
CGGUAUGACGGAGCGGCGAACGGGUGAGUAACACGUGAGCAACCUGCCCCACAGACCGGGAUAGCCCAGGGAAACCUGGAUUAAUACCGGAUACCCUCAUGGAAUCGCAUGAUUCGGUGAGGAAAAGCCUUUGUGCUGUGGGAUGGGCUCGCGGCUUAUCAGCUAGUUGGUGGGGUAACGGCCUACCAAGGCAUCGACGAGUAGCUGGUCUGAGAGGACGAUCAGCCACACUGGGACUGAGAUACGGCCCAGACUCCUACGGGAGGCAGCAGCAGGGAAUCUUGCGCAAUGGGCGAAAGCCUGACGCAGCAACGCCGCGUGGGGGAUGAAGGCCUUCGGGUUGUAAACCCCUUUCAGGAGGGAAGAAAUUGACGGUACCUCCAAAAGAAGCCCCGGCCAACUACGUGCCAGCAGCCGCGGUAAUACGUAGGGGGCAAGCGUUGUCCGGAAUUAUUGGGCGUAAAGAGCUCGUAGGCGGUUCAACAAGUCGGCUGUGAAAUUCCGAGGCUCUACCUCGGAACUGCAGUCGAUACUGUUGUGACUCGAGUCCGGUAGAGGAGAAUGGAAUUCCCGGUGUAGCGGUGAAAUGCGCAGAUAUCGGGAGGAACACCAGUAGCGAAGGCGGUUCUCUGGGCCGGUACUGACGCUGAGGAGCGAAAGCGUGGGUAGCAAACAGGAUUAGAUACCCUGGUAGUCCACGCCGUAAACGUUGGACACUAGGUGUGGCGUCCCGAUCAACGGAUGCCGUGCCGAAGCUAACGCAUUAAGUGUCCCGCCUGGGGAGUACGGCCGCAAGGCUAAAACUCAAAGGAAUUGACGGGUCCCCGCACAAGCGGCGGAGCAUGCGGCUUAAUUCGAUGCAACCCGAAGAACCUUACCUGGGUUUGACAUCACGGGAAAAGCUGUAGAAAUACAGUGUCCGUAAGGGUCCGUGACAGGUGGUGCAUGGCUGUCGUCAGCUCGUGUCGUGAGAUGUUGGGUUAAGUCCCGCAACGAGCGCAACCCUUGUCCCAUGUUGCCAGCGGUUCGGCCGGGGACUCAUAGGAGACUGCCGGGGAUAACUCGGAGGAAGGUGAGGACGACGUCAAGUCAUCAUGCCCCUUAUAUCCAGGGCUGCACGCAUGCUACAAUGGGCCGGUACAACGGGCAGCGACCUC